rnacentral:rRNA from 1 species
ACGCUCGACACCUACUGGAGGCAGCAGUAAGGAAUCUUCCACAAUGGGCGCAAGCCUGAUGGAGCAACACCGCGUGAGUGAAGAAGGGUUUCGGCUCGUAAAGCUCUGUUGUUGGAGAAGAACGUGCGUGAGAGUAACUGUUCACGCAGUGACGGUAUCCAACCAGAAAGUCACGGCUAACUACGUGCCAACAGCCGCGGUAAUCUGAGCGGGCUGGCAAGGC